AAAGCGACCACCGCCCCCCCACGUACGCCCAACGGAGGCGGAGGCCGAGGCCACGAACCACAAAACCAGGCCAUCGCCCCCAACAACAAACGUGCGAAGCUACCAGAAAACAGAAGCAAGGACAAGCAAGUGGGCAUUUGUUCCUCGUCGCCUCCGCUUUCCCAACCCCCACUGCCCCCCAGCCAAAUCCGCCGCCCGAUUCCGCUGCCGCGCCGCCGAUCCCUCCCCCGUCCAUGGCGAUCGGGCCCGGCAGCCGGCUCCCCGACCUCCCAUUCUCCCGAUUCGGAAUUUGAUAAGGUUUAGCGGCCUCUCCGCCUCCCCGCAGCUCGAUUGCUGAUUUGGUCGGGGGAAGGGAAUCUUCUGCGGCUGCUGCUUCUGCUGAAUUGCUCUCCGGGAGGCGAGGGGAGGGGGGGAUGGGGAUGCUGUUCGUGGAGUACCUCCCGGGGCCCAAGGUGUUCAAGUGCAAGUUCUGCAGGGUUGACUCGGCGUCGCCGGACGACAUCGUGUCCAAGGAGUUCCGUGGCCGCCACGGCCGCGCCUACCUCUUCGAUAGCGUGGUGAAUGUGAGCCUUGGUCCCAAUGAGGAUCGCCAUCUUUUGACUGGAUUGCAUACAGUGAACGAUAUCUACUGUAGCUGCUGCCAACGACUCCUUGGCUGGAAAUAUGCGAAAGCCUACAACGAAGACCAGAAGUACAAAGAAGGAAAGUUCAUACUAGAGAAGAACAUGAUGCUGAAAGAAGGACGUUAGCUGGCGGGAACUGAUGAUCUGCUGUCAAAGUCUGCACAAGCAGACAUUCGCAACUUGCGAAGUGUAGCUAAAGAUUCGUUGAUACUGAUUUCCUGAACAUUUAUUACUCUGGUGACGGCCAUCACCACGAAAAUGCAUUUGUGAAAUCUGUUGCCCCCUGUUACAUUUGCUCGGCUGGCCUCUGAAAUUGAAUUGUUACCAGCUUUUCUUGACUCAACCGUCGAGGUUCACAGAUCGGGUUUCUGAAGCUGGGUGCUGAUGUAGGCCUAGUACUCUUUACUUACCUCAUCUGGAAUCUAUCUGUCAGCGAACCGAGCGAGCGCCAAGACCCAACUCAACCCUCAGGCCGGCCUAGAAGACAGCCUCGCCCACCGGCUCGGCUUGCCGGCCCAGAAUGGGCCCGUUAAAGAGUUGUACUUAUAUCUGUAACGAUAAGAUUCGAGUGGCGGCUGGCAAAUGGCUAGGUAGCGUGUGCGUGAUAGCUUGUAAGUGGGGUCUCCUUCCUCCUCUCUCCGAAUAUUCUCCU
rnacentral:rRNA from 1 species